AUGCCCGAAAGGGUGACGAAGCGACGCCGCGUGGGUAAGGAAGGCCCUCGGGUUGUAAAGCCCUGUCAGGAGUUAAGAAAUGUAGGUGUGCUAAUAUCACGCCUAUUUGACGAAGGCUCCAAAGGAAGUCACGGCUAACUCUGUGCCAGCAGCCGCGGUAAUACAGAGGUGGCAAGCGUUGUUCGGAAUUAUUGGGCGUAAAGAGCACGUAGGUGGGUUUGUAAGUCAGAUGUGAAAGCCUCCUGUUCAACGGGAGAAUUGCAUCUGAAACUACCGAUCUUGAGUGUAGGAGGGGAGAAUGGAACUUCUGGUGGAGCGGUGAAAUGCGUAGAUAUCAGAAGGAACGCCGGCGGCGAAAGCGAUUCUCUGGCCUAUUACUGACACUCAGUGUGCGAAAGCUAGGGGAGCAAACGGGAUUAGAUACCCCGGUAGUCCUAGCCGUAAACGAUGGGCACUAAGUAGAGGGGU
rnacentral:rRNA from 1 species